rnacentral:rRNA from 1 species
AGGGCACCACCAGGAGUGGAGCCUGCGGCUUAAUUUGACUCAACACGGGGAAACUUACCCGGCCUGGACACUGGAAGGAUUGACAGAUUGAGAGCUCUUUCUUGAUUCAGUGGGUGGUGGUGCAUGGCCGUUCUUAGUUGGUGGAGCGAUUUGUCUGGUUAAUUCCGAUAACGAACGAGACUCUAGCCUAUUAAAUAGGCUCUCGGCUUUUAAACGCCGGGAGGACUUCUUAGAGGGACAGGUGGCGGUUCAGCCGCACGAAAGAGAGCAAUAACAGGUCUGUGAUGCCCUUUGUUGUCCGGGGCCGCACGCGCGCUACACCGAAGAGAUCAGCGUGCUUUACGUUCCUGCUCCGACCGGAGUGGGGAACCCAGUGAACCUUCUUCGUGAUUGGGAUAGAAGAUUGUAAUUAUUCUUCUUGAACGAGGAAUUCCCAGUAAAUGCGAGUCAUAAGCUCGCGUUGAUUACGUCCCUGCCCUUUGUACACACCGCCCGUCGCUACUACCGAUUGAACGAUUU